GUGCAUCGAACUGCCGACUCCCUAUCUGCUUCAGUCUUUCCCCAAGAGAAGAUCCUUCCUUGUGGGAGCUUAUGGUAUCCUGUGUUGCUUACCCACGAAAUGGAAUUCGAUGGCUUUGCUGUGUUGAUCCGUCAUGUGCCCUUUGGGGUGUGGGACGGACGUGAGGCGGGCUCUGUGUUCCCGACGUGCCUAGUGUGUUAUCGCUUGGUCGUUGUUGCCCAUGGAGUCUCUGCUCGUUCUCUCGGAUGCGGAAUGCUAUGCAGGGGCGUGAGGUCUUCACCUCAUACGCCCAAGCACUGUCCCUUGACUCGAACGACUGCUGUGCUCGUCUUUGAUCUUCCCGACCAAGGCCUCGUAGUGGGGCUUACUGGACGAGGGUUGCUCAUGCGGGCUUCAGCGUCGAAGAGGAAUGC
rnacentral:misc_RNA from 1 species